GGGGGUUUAACUUUAAGGCUUUCUUUCUCGUUUAAAUACGGACGGGUAGUUUUCGUAAGGCGCACGCUCACCUGCAAAAAAAUGGAUUUGAUCUUGCAGGCUGCCGAUGCAAUUCAAGCCGAUCGAGGAUGCAAACGUCUCCAGAAUUCGUAAGCAAAAACUUGCGAGAAGGGAUGGGGGUCAAAUAGAUCGCAAUCGUGAUAUUGAGCACCUCUGGGAAUUUUACUGGCGCUACAAGUGACGACAUCGCCCGGAGGAUAUCCAGAGGGAGGAGCAGAGAAUGCGUGAAUCUGGGACUUUUACUGCUAACUUUGGAGGAUGCUUAAUCCUUUGCAGACCAUACAAUGGUCUGAAGUGUAAGCUUGGCACUUUGGUAGGUUGCUUCAUUGCAACCUGAAGGUCCCAGGUUUGAAGGGGGAGAUAGCCUCUCCCAGAUGGGGUCAACAGUCUCUAGGCUCUGCAAUGGCUGGAUUCCCAUGCAUAUUGAGCUGUCUGUAAAAUAGACGAGAAGGCAAUCUAUGAGCACAAGCAAUUAAU
rnacentral:lncRNA from 1 species